CAAAAACUGCAAAAAAAAAAAAAAAAAAAAAACAAUAAAAGUAUGUGUUUAUAUGGACAAAUUGAGAGUAAAGGGAUAUCAAUUCAAACUAACUGAGGAAGAAAUGAGGUUAGGGUGAAAAUUUUUCCCAAAAAUUCCAUUAUUACUUCAAUUAGGGAAUUAAUAGAACAUGUUAAAUGGGAGAAAAGAUACAGGUUAUGUAUGACAUAAAGAUGCACUGUAGGGUGGCGCCUGUGGCUCAAGGAGUAGGGCGCCGGUCCCAUAUGCCGGAGGUGGUGGGUUCAAACCCAGCCCUGGCCAAAAACCACAAAAAAAAAAAAAAAAAAAAAGAUGCACUGUAAAGAUAACAGUAGAAUAAAAAAUACAAACUUUCCUCAACACCAAAAGAUAUUCCAGGGGAAAAAAAGCAAAUAAAA